rnacentral:rRNA from 1 species
CCUGGUUGAUCCUGCCAGUAGUCAUAUGCUUGUCUCAAAGAUUAAGCCAUGCAUGUCUAAGUACAAGCCGAUUUAAGGCGAAACCGCGAAUGGCUCAUUAAAUCAGCUAUGAUUCAUUGGAUCUGUACCCACACUUACUUGGAUAACUGUGGUAAUUCUAGAGCUAAUACAUGCACCACGUCUCUGACCGCAAGGGAAGAGCGCUUUUAUAGUUCAAAACCGGUCGGGCCUCGGUCCGUCACCCCACCGUGUUGAAUCUGAAUAACUUGUCGCUGAGCGCACGGUCUCCGCACCGGCGCCGCCUCUUUCAAGUGUCUGCCUUAUCAGCUUUCGAUUGUAGGUUAUGCGCCUACAAUGGCUAUAACGGGUAACGGGGAAUCAGGGUUCGAUUCCGGGAGGGAGCCUGAGAAACGGCUACCACAUCUAAGGAAGGCAGCAGGCACGCAAAUUACCCACUCCCGGCACGGGGAGGUAGUGACGAAAAAUAACGAUGCGAGACUCAUCCGGCCUCGCAAUCGGAAUGAGUACACUUUAAAUCCUUUAACGAGGAUCUAUUGGAGGGCAAGUCUGGUGCCAGCAGCCGCGGUAAUUCCAGCUCCAAUAGCGUAUAUUAAAGUUGUUGCGGUUAAAAAGCUCGUAGUUGGAUUUCAGUUCUGGACUGACGGUUCACCGCCCGGUGCAUACUGUCACGCUCCGACAGCCACAACAGCCCGCUGGCUCGCACGGGGUGCUCUUCAUCGAGUGUCCCGCGUGGCCGGCAGAGUUUACUUUGAAAAAAUUAGAGUGCUCAAAGCAGGCUACACUUACGGCCUGAAUGCCUAUGCAUGGAAUAAUGGAAUAGGACCUCGGUUCUAUUUUGUCGGUUUUCUGAACCCGAGGUAAUGACUAAUAGGAACAGGCGGGGGCAUUCGUAUUGCGACGCUAGAGGUGAAAUUCUUGGACCGUCGCAAGACGAACUACUGCGAAAGCAUUUGCCAAGGAUGUUUUUCAUUAAUCAAGAACGAAAGUUAGAGGUUCGAAGGCGAUCAGAUACCGCCUAGUUUAACCAUAAACGAUGCUGACCAGCGAUCCGCCGGCGUUAUUUCCCAUGACCCGGCGGGCAGCUUCCGGGAAACCAAAGUCUUUGGGUUCCGGGGGAAGUAUGGUUGCAAAGCUGAAACUUAAAGGAAUUGACGGAAGGGCACCACCAGGAGUGGAGCCUGAAUUUGACUCAACACGGGAACCUCACCAGGCCCAGACACCGGAAGGAUUGACAGAUUGAGAGCUUCUUUCUCGAUUCGGUGGGUGGUGGUGCAUGGCCGUUUCUUAGUUGGGUGGAGCGAUUUGUCUGGUUAAAUUCCGAUAACGAACGAGACUCUGGCCUACUAACUAGUCGACGGAUUCUCCAGCAAUUGGUGUCCAGUUCGCAGCUUCUUCUUAGAGGGAUAAAGCGGCAACUUUAGCCGCACGAGAAUUGAGCAAUAUAAACUGGAUCUGUGAUCCCUUAGAAUGUGUUCGUGGGCCGCACGCGGCUACGACUGUAAGUGAGUAUGUCGAUUAAGUACUACGUGUCCUUACAUUAUGCCCUCCCGAGAGGAGACGGGUACCCGUUGAAAUCUCUUAUCCAUGACUGAGGGAUUAGGAGUAGUGUAGUGAUGGUGCACGAAUUAUGGAUGGUCUCAGUCGUGCACUCACCAUAUAGAAGCGGGAUCAGGUAAAAGAAUUUUCCAGUAAGUCGCAAGUCAAUAGAGGACUUUAUGCGUAUGAUGAUACUAGAUAAUCUGAGCUACAGAUUGGACUAGUAUCAUGAGACCUUAAUUGUGUUCAUAGUACAGGCAGCACAGGAG